rnacentral:piRNA from 1 species
CUUCAAGUCUAGGGCAGCCCUGG